rnacentral:rRNA from 1 species
AGUGAACGCUGGCGGUAGGCCUAACACAUGCAAGUCGAACGGCAGCACAGUAACUUCUUGCUCUUACGGGUGGCGAGUGGCGGACGGGUGAGAUCUACAUCGGAACCUACUUUUUGGUGGGGGAUAACGUAGGGAAACUAACGCCAAUAACGCACACGACCUACGGGUGAAAGCAGGGGAUCUUCGGCCCUUGCGCGAUUGAAUGAGCCGAUGUCGGAUUAGCUAGUUGGCGGGGUAAAGGCCCGCCAAGGCGACGAUCCGUAGCUGGUCUGAGAGGAUGAUCAGCCACACUGGAACUGAGACACGGUCCAGACUCCUACGGGAGGCAGCAGUGGGGAAUAUUGGACAAUGGGCGCAAGCCUGAUCCAGCCAUACCGCGUGGGUGAAGAAGGCCUUCGGGUUGUAAAGCCCUUUUGUUGGGAAAGAAAAGCAUCAGGUUAAUACGCCGCUGUUCUGACGGUACCCAAAGAAUAAGCACCGGCUAACUUCGUG